GCUGGGCGCGGUGGCGCACGCCUGUAAUCCCAGCAUGUUGGGAGGCUGAGGCAGGUGGAUCACCUGAGGUCAGGAGUUCAAGACCAGCCUGGCCAACAUGGUGAAACCAUGUCUCUA
ensembl:misc_RNA Metazoa_SRP Metazoan signal recognition particle RNA